AGUGAACGCUGGCGGUAGGCCUAACACAUGCAAGUCGAACGGCAGCACAGUAAGAGCUUGCUCUUACGGGUGGCGAGUGGCGGACGGGUGAGGAAUACAUCGGAAUCUACUUUUUCGUGGGGGGUAACGUAGGGAAACUUACGCUAAUACCGCAUACGACCUACGGGUGAAAGCAGGGGAUCUUCGGACCUUGCGCGAUUGAAUGAGCCGAGGUCGGAUUAGCUAGUUGGCGGGGUAAAGGCCCACCAAGGCGACGAUCCGUAGCUGGUCUGAGAGGAUGAUCAGCCACACUGGAACUGAGACACGGUCCAGACUCCUACGGGAGGCAGCAGUGGGGAAUGUUGGACAAUGGGCGCAAGCCUGAUCCAGCCAUACCGCGUGGGUGAAGAAGGCCUUCGGGUUGUAAAGCCCUUUUGUUGGGAAAGAAAAGCAGCAGGUUAAUACCCCGCUGUUCUGACGGUACCCAAAGAAUAAGCACCGGCUAACUUCGUG
rnacentral:rRNA from 1 species